ACCUAAAAGGCUAAAAGUCUCCAAUCAACUCUCAGAUCAAGUCAAUCAUAUUGUCUUGAAUUUCCCAUAACAUUUUUGCGUUAAUUUGCUUGAACAUGGCUAAACUCAAGAAGCUAAUAUUCAUGCUCAACUUUGCUUUGCUUCUUGUGCUCCUCAUCUCCACCAAAGUGGCUGCAAGGGAACUUUUUGGGGCGCCCAAGAUUCACAUAACGGCGCGGGAUCAACCACAGGGCCACAAUUAUCCUCAUCCUAAUCCUUGAUCAACAUACAGAAGUCCCAUUGGAAAUCAAGUGUUGAGAGAAAGCUGAACGAGACUUUUACUCAUAUGCGUAAUUUGAUUUAGUGUGCCAGUUAAUAUAGUAAUUUUUCAAUUGAAGAUGGUUGAUAUGAAAAAGCUGAUAUUGAAUCUUGCUUUGCUGUUUGUUCUUCUCUUCUUCGGGAAAGUGGUCGCAGCUCGGGCGCCUUCAAUUUGGAUAUCUGAUCAUCACAUUGCACAUAAAAUCCAUAUGGAUGAUCCUCGGAACCACCAUUAUCAUCGUCAUUAGACACAUGCACGUGUUUUGAAGAAGAUUAUAAUGGCCUAGAGAUAUUAUUGAGAAAGAAUACAUGGGAGAGAGAUUUCCUAUUGAUGUUGUCAGUAAAUAUAUAUAUAUAUAUAUAUAUAUUCAAUAAUUUGUAAAACAAUGGUUUAAACUUAAUGAAUUUAAAAAAUUAUGUAUGUCGGAGAGUUAUUUUCAAUUGAAUAAAAAUACUUGAAUUCAAUCCGUUAGUGCAAUAUAUCACGCUUUUGUUAUACCCUCUCAUAGGUAUUGUUAUAUAGAUGAGGCUCUUGUAAAUAAUUAAUAAUAACAUAUUAAAUUUAAUAAACAUAAAACAAUUAGAUUAUUUAAAAAAUAAAAUUAAUAAUUAAUAACAACAUAAGUUGAGCGCAUCCAUCUUCUUCAACUCUUCCUCGCCCUCACCAUCAGGCUAUGUUUGGUAGGAGGGAAUGAGAGAGUGGGAUUGGGAUUGGUAUUAGAUAAUCCCACCUUCUUGUGUUUGGUGUGAAGGAAUGAAAAAUUUUAUCCCAAUACCAAUCCCAUCUAAGUGGGAUUACUCAAUACCACUACCCCCAUGGUGCUGAAAAAUCAAUCCCAGGAUUGAUUAUUUUUAGACUAAAUUACCCCCAUUAUCUCUCCAUCAUCUCCUUCCCUCUGCUUGCUCCUCCUUCGUCUCCAUGUCGUCUUCCGCCUUUGCCCUCCUUUCAGAAUAAGCAACGCCG